UCCCCCCAUUUCUCCUCCUCCUCCUCUGCCCCAUUCUCACGAUGAACCAGAUCGAUCAGAGGUGCCCACCGAUCCACCCGCUCCAGCCAGAUAGAACUGCGCCGCCCGCCUCAUCUGCGGGGUCGAUCGGGGCUGCCGGCCUCACCCGCGACCUUAUCCUGCACGUCCCAGCAGGCACGAACAUCACGGCCCUCCUUACAGGCGGGAUCGGAGCCGCCGGCCUCACCCACGACGUUCUCUGCGCCCCUUCCCCGAUUCCCUACCACGGGGGUUGCAUUGUCUGCAUCCACGAGAACGCCUCCGCCUGCAACCGCGAGAACGCCGCCGACCUCCUGAAGGUAACAACAUCCUCUACCAUCGUAGUAGUGGGAACUGAAGGUACUUCAUACUUGGUGUAUUGGUUGCUCUUGGCACCAUCGUUCUGAUUCAUAGAUUGUGGUACAGCUUCAUCUAUUAGUAUGUCCGAUCAACGGUGAUAUACUACAUGCAUAGAAGAUAUCUGUCAAUGCGGAAAUGUCACGUAGGGGGAGAUGAUAGAGAUACAGCUUGAGAGUCCUGCAUCUGCAACCUUCUCCUUGGAUCCAUUUGCUUGAAGUGGUUUGAACCAAUUACUUUAUACCUUAGUUAAAUGUAGUUUUGAUCGCAAUAUGAAACUGGUCUAUUGUGCCUGCUGCAUACAGCAAGUUCUUUCAUGUUCUAUGUUUUCAGUUUCUUAAAUGUUUUUUCAUUAUUUGUAGGUUCUGCUGCUAAGAAGCAGCGGGCAACUCCCAAGAAAAUCAGUCUGGUGCCAUUAGCUUAGCUGAUAAUGGCGAUUCGUUACAAUCCUGAAUGAAUGUCCUAUGCAGCUUUCUAUUUUACUUCAGAGUUUAAUAUUUAUAUAGGUCAUUUUAUCUUUCAAAGAACACCUCGGCCUGCUCCCACAAGAAUGCCGCUGCCCUCCUCUGGUUUCUGCUCUGGUCUGAGCGCCUCCUUCCUCUCUUGGUUCAGUUCGAAAAUAAGGCAAGAAGGCUGUAGAAAAUAACAAGACUCUUGGCAGGUAUUCUGAAUCGUGUAGGGUAGACACUAGAGUAGAUCAUCAGCAGGUAUUCUAAUUCGUCCAUUACUUGUUGUUUAUCCUACAAUAUGCCUUAAGGUAUUGUAUUCUGGGUACAUAUUUCGGUUGUUGAAUUUAGUGAAUUUUAUGACUUGGAAAAACAACAUUGUGCAUGCUUUUCUCGUCAAUCAAUAUAUAUACCCAUCCUUAUUAACACCAUCUAGUACAAGAUGAUCCUUUGUGGAAGAGAUUUUUUUUCUAAUGAGUAAGUACAACCAUGAUGAUAUAUCCUUAGUUAGUACUAAUUGAUAGCAUAACAGCCAUGAUGAUACUACUGAAUCUCAACAUGACUUCUGUUAACUUACCUACAACGUGUUCUUGUAUAGAGAGUAGCUCCUAUUUUAACCGAAAACUUAAUAUGCAGUUGCAUGGUCUCUGUAUUUUAAGUAGUUUGGUUCAGCAUUUUUUUUCAAACCUACCCAGAGACAAGCAUGCUAUCAUAUAAACCUAUGUGCUGAAACUACUACAAUUUGUCCUGAAACUAAAUGCUUUAGAGGUGAUGCUCUAUUUACAUGCUUUUCCCUAUUAAAGAGAUAAAGCGAGUCAUGAUAUCUAAGAGGGUCAGGUAGACAUAUGCAUGAGGCCUUUUGUCAAAUAGUAACCGACUGUAUGCUUAUGGUCAAUUGCUUUUUUAAGUCUUACUGUUAUAUGUUAACAUAUUUUGCUACUAAUGUUUCAUGAUAUCCUUCUUCGUCAAAGUAGUAAAAUCAUGUCCGCAACUCCAGAGUAUGAGAAGAACAUGGUAGCAAGGAUUAAGAGGCGCAUGACUGAGGAGGCAGGCCCUCUUGGGGACAUACAAAACAUAGCUAGUCAACUCCUAUACGGUCAGAAAAAAUAAGUAUUAAAGUUGCAGAGGUGAGGAUGGUGGCGGUGGCUCCAAAUAAUAGUCAAAUUAUGAUGAGCAGGAUGAUGAUGAUGAUGCCGGUGAUAUUUCUGGAUAAUAGGAGCUGGAGCUAACUCUACAUAUAUCAAAGGAAAAGGCAUUAUAUCUUAGUGUCAUACAUAUUUGUACAUAAUGCUUUUUUAUAAUCUGCUCAUGAUCAUGUGCAUAUCAAUGUUUAAUUGAGCAACAUGCUUGCGUCUUUCGAACCUAUUAUUUUGUAAGUUCAAUUGCACAUAUCAACUGUAUCUAACUUGAGCAACAAUGCUUUUCUUCUACAGACUUCCAUGGAAAAUAAAAGAAGAUGAGCACCUAGUGUUUGGUACACAUAUUGUGGUUGAAGUUCUGACGGAGCACAACUCCUCAAUAACCUUCAUUUCUAUCAUGGGGUACCAAUCAAGAUUUGGGAGGUUUAGGACAUCAGCUCCGAACGCAAAUGCAACGUACCAAUAACAGGUAACUGACAGAGGUAAAACGCAAGACGUUGCACUUGAAGUGAUGCAAAGGAAGAAACAUGAAGAAUUGAUGGCUAUGAAGAAGAUCCAAGAGGAAAAAACUAUAACAUAUGAAUAGCCUUAUUAGCUUCCACUUACGGAAGUACGCAACUCAGAACCAGACACCAUACUUGAUGGUGCACGGAAGCCAUGAUUAUGUUGUGGUGCUAUUGGAGCGUGAGACUAGUUUACUCAUAUUUUAGUAUGCUUUUGUAGUGCAACUUCUGUUCAGUUAUGUACAAUGAUAUUUGGUUGUGAGUUAGAUAUAUACACAUAUAUUGUGAUUCAA